AGAGUUUGAUCCUGGCUCAGAGCGGACGCUGGCGGCAGGCUUAACACAUGCAAGUCGAGCGGGCGUAGCAAUACGUCAGCGGCAGACGGGUGAGUAACGCGUGGGAACAUACCUUUUGGUUCGGAACAACACAGGGAAACUUGUGCUAAUACCGGAUAAGCCCUUACGGGGAAAGAUUUAUCGCCGAAAGAUUGGCCCGCGUCUGAUUAGCUAGUUGGUGAGGUAACGGCUCACCAAGGCGACGAUCAGUAGCUGGUCUGAGAGGAUGAUCAGCCACAUUGGGACUGAGACACGGCCCAAACUCCUACGGGAGGCAGCAGUGGGGAAUAUUGGACAAUGGGCGCAAGCCUGAUCCAGCCAUGCCGCGUGAGUGAUGAAGGCCCUAGGGUUGUAAAGCUCUUUUGUGCGGGAAGAUAAUGACGGUACCGCAAGAAUAAGCCCCGGCUAACUUCGUGCCAGCAGCCGCGGUAAUACGAAGGGGGCUAGCGUUGCUCGGAAUCACUGGGCGUAAAGGGUGCGUAGGCGGGUCUUUAAGUCAGGGGUAAAAUCCUGGAGCUCAACUCCAGAACUGCCUUUGAUACUGAGGAUCUUGAGUUCGGGAGAGGUGAGUGGAACUGCGAGUGUAGAGGUGAAAUUCGUAGAUAUUCGCAAGAACACCAGUGGCGAAAGCGGCUCACUGGCCCGAUACUGACGCUGAGGCACGAAAGCGUGGGGAGCAAACAGGAUUAGAUACCCUGGUAGUCC
rnacentral:rRNA from 1 species